UACGAAGGGGGCUAGCGUUGUUCGGAAUUACUGGGCUUAAAGGGUGCGUAGGCGGCGCGGAAAGUUGGGUGUGAAAUCCCUCGGCUUAACCGAGGAAUUGCGCUCAAAACUACCGUGCUCGAGGGAGAUAGAGGAAUGCGGAACUUACGGUGGAGCGGUGAAAUGCGUUGAUAUCGUAGGGAACACCGGUGGCGAAAGCGGCAUUCUGGAUCUCUUCUGACGCUGAGGCACGAAAGCUAGGGUAGCAAACGGG
rnacentral:rRNA from 1 species